rnacentral:tRNA from 1 species
GGGGACGUGGUGGAAUUGGUAGACACGCUGGAUUUAGGAUCCAGUGCCUCGCGGCGUGAGAGUUCAAGUCUCUCCGUCCCCACCA